rnacentral:rRNA from 1 species
UACAGAGGUCUCAAGCGUUGUUCGGAUUCAUUGGGCGUAAAGGGUGCGUAGGCGGCGCGGUAAGUCGGAUGUGAAAUCUCGGAGCUUAACUCCGAAACUGCAUUCGAUACUGCCGUGCUUGAGGACUGGAGAGGAGACUGGAAUUUACGGUGUAGCGGUGAAAUGCGUAGAUAUCGUGAGGAAGACCAGUUGCGAAGGCGAAUCUCUGGGCAAUUCCUGACACUGAGGCACGAAGGCCAGGGGAGCAAACGGG